AACGAACGCUGGCGGCAGGCCUAACACAUGCAAGUCGAGCGAACCCUUCGGGGUUAGCGGCGGACGGGUUAGUAACGCGUGGGAACGUGCCCAAAGGUACGGAAUAGCCUCGGGAAACUGAGAGUAAUACCGUAUGUGCCCCUCGGGGAAAGGAUUUAUCGCCUUUGGAUCGGCCCGCGUUGGAUUAGGUAGUUGGUGGGGUAAUGGCCUACCAAGCCGACGAUCCAUAGCUGGUUUGAGAGGAUGAUCAGCAACACUGGGACUGAGACACGGCCCAGACUCCUACGGGAGGCAGCAGUGGGGAAUCUUAGACAAUGGGGGAAACCCUGAUCUAGCCAUGCCGCGUGGACGAUGAAGGCCUUAGGGUUGUAAAGUCCUUUCAGCUGGGAAGAUAAUGACAGUACCAGCAGAAGAAGCCCCGGCUAACUCCGUG
rnacentral:rRNA from 1 species